rnacentral:precursor_RNA from 1 species
GGGGGCCGGCGGCGGCGGCGGGCGCUGGGCGGGCGCGGGGCGGGGGCGCGGCACCUGGCGCCGCCUCCCGGACGC